rnacentral:rRNA from 1 species
GGUUUUUUGUGUUAAAUGAAAACUCUGACAUGCCCCCGGUUUGAAGGGGUGCAGUAUUUUGACGGUACAAAGGUAGCGUAAUCAUUAGUUUUUUGAUUGAGGACUGGUAUGAAAGGUUAAACGGAAUUUGACUGUCUCUAGAAAUUUAGAUGAAUUUAUUUUUUUGUGAAAAAACAAAAAUGAAUUAAAGGGACAAAAAGACCCUAUUAAACUUUAAUUUUUAUAUUAAUUAUAGUUAUUAAGUUUUACUGGGGCGGUAAGUUACAUAACUUUUUUUUAAUAGAUUAUUAGAGUAAGAUCCAAAGGAUUGAUAGUAAGAAUAAGUUACUAUAGGGAUAACAGCGUAAUAUUUUCUGAAAGUUCUUAUUGACGAAAUUGUUUGCGACCUCGAUGUUGGAUUAAGAAGUCUAAUUAACCCAGGAGUUAAUUAAGAUGGGCUGUUCCACCUUUAAUUUCUU